GAUGAACGCUGGCGGCGUGCCUAAUACAUGCAAGUCGAGCGAAUGGAUUAAGAGCUUGCUCUUAUGAAGUUAGCGGCGGACGGGUGAGUAACACGUGGGUAACCUGCCCAUAAGACUGGGAUAACUCCGGGAAACCGGGGCUAAUACCGGAUAACAUUUUGAACCGCAUGGUUCGAAAUUGAAAGGCGGCUUCGGCUGUCACUUAUGGAUGGACCCGCGUCGCAUUAGCCAGUUGGUGAGGUAACGGCUCACCAAGGCAACGAUGCGUAGCCGACCGGAGAGGGCGAUCGGCCACACUGGGACUGAGACACGGCCCAGACUCCUACGGGAGGCAGCAGUAGGGAAUCUUCCGCAAUGGACGAAAGUCUGACGGAGCAACGCCGCGUGAGUGAUGAAGGCUUUCGGGUCGUAAAACUCUGUUGUUAGGGAAGAACAAGUGCUAGUUGAAUAAGCUGGCACCUUGGCGGUACCUAACCAGAAAGCCACGGCUAACUACGUGCCAGCCGCCGCUGUAA
rnacentral:rRNA from 1 species